rnacentral:rRNA from 1 species
UACAGAGGGUGCAAGCGUUGUUCGGAAUUAUUGGGCGUAAAGGGUGCGUAGGCGGUGCGGUAAGUCUCUUGUGAAAUCUCCGGGCUCAACUCGGAGCCUGCAAGGGAAACUGCCGUGCUUGAGUAUGGGAGAGGUGAGUGGAAUUCCCGGUGUAGCGGUGAAAUGCGUAGAUAUCGGGGGGAACACCUGUGGCGAAAGCGGCUCACUGGACCAUUACUGACGCUGAUGCACGAAAGCUAGGGGAGCAAACAGG